ensembl:lncRNA
CAAACACAGCGCAAGUUGGGAAGAUCAGUGAUGGGGACAAACCAAACCUUGAAGAAACUCCCACAAAAAAGCAGUGGUGUAGCCCAGGACUGAACUAGCCCUCCUAUUUCCAAACAGUCUACCGAGGACAGCGUGGCCUAGGAGGUGUGUAUAACUGGCAGGUGAUCAAGAGUCAAAAUAGAAGCAGAAUCACCGGUGGCGUACAUCCUGUGCUCCACGGGCGAGACGCAAACAAGAAAAGCAGUUGAGUUGUUUGGUGCAAAAAGCAGCUUCCCGGGAUCGCUCCAGCCACGGUGUCGUUGUGAUCAAUCCGCAUUGAUGCCAAAGCUGCCAUCCCGCAAGCAGUGAGGAUGUCCCAUUUCUGCACCUGUCGUCCCCAUUUGCACACCUUUAGGAUGUGGGCAGGUGCCAUUGCCCAGGCCGUGCGGCUCUGACAAGGGAGGCUGGGGGAGGCAGGAUGGAGCUGAGGUCAGCACUAAGUUUCUCCCCCACGGAAAGAUAUGGCCUUGAGAACACGUGUGGAUUGGUUGUUCCUCAGCCCACCUCCAGCACCUCGCAAGCAGAAGCUGAUCCCCUCCAGCCCGCUACAGAGGUAUCGGGCAAGGCAGAGCAGUGGAGGAGUGCCAUGCUUGGGCUCUCCCUGGCCAGCCAAGCAGUACUGCAGUGUGGGUCCCACACUGGCAGAGCCAUGGCUACAGCGAGGGCUGCAUGUGCCAGAGCCCUCUGUCUGGCAUCUUUCCCAAAUCAUAAAUUCUCUUAAAAAAAAAAAAAAAACCUCCCAGAAAAUAAAACAAAAAAUAUCAGGCAGCAUAAUCUUAAUUGUACAUUCUGCUUUUCUCUUCAGUCCAAAAUAAUGGAAAUGGCAUUAAUACAGUGCUGCACUGAGCAUGUACCCGCACAGGGGCCGAAGGACUGCCUCUGCUUUUUGAAAG